GAUGAACGCUGACAGAAUGCUUAACACAUGCAAGUCGAUUCGAUUUACCUUCGGGUAUUGAGGAUGGCGGACGGGUGAGUAACGCGUAAGGAACUUGCCUCUUGGUCUGGGACAACUGUUGGAAACGACAGCUAAUACCGGAUAUUAUGAGAUUCUCGCAUGGGAAACUUAUGAAAGCUAUAUGCGCCAAGAGAGAGCCUUGCGUUCCAUUAGCUAGUUGGUGGGGUAACGGCCCACCAAGGCGACGAUGGAUAGCCGGCCUGAGAGGGUGAACGGCCACAAGGGGACUGAGACACGGCCCUUACUCCUACGGGAGGCAGCAGUGGGGAAUAUUGGACAAUGGGCCACAAGCCUGAUCCAGCAAUUCUGUGUGCACGAUGAAGGUCUUCGGAUUGUAAAGUGCUUUCAGUUGGGAAGAAGAAAGUGACGGUACCAACAGAAGAAGCGACGGCUAAAUACGUGCCAGCAGCCGCGGUAAUACGUAUGUCGCAAGCGUUAUCCGGAUUUAUUGGGCGUAAAGCGCGUCUAGGCGGAAAAANAAGUCUGAUGUUAAAAUGCGGGGCUCAACUCCGUAUUGCGUUGNAACUGUUUUUCUAGAGUACUGGAGAG
rnacentral:rRNA from 1 species